rnacentral:rRNA from 1 species
GACGAACGCUGGCGGCAUGCCUAACACAUGCAAGUCGAACGGAGAUUACUUCGGUAAUCUUAGUGGCGAACGGGUGAGUAACGCGUAGGCAACCUGCCCUCUAGAUGGGGACAACAUCCCGAAAGGGGUGCUAAUACCGAAUGUGACAGCUUUUCCGCAUGGAAGAGCUGUGAAAGAUGGCCUCUAUUUAUAAGCUAUCGCUAGAGGAUGGGCCUGCGUCUGAUUAGCUAGUUGGUGGGGUAACGGCUCACCAAGGCGAUGAUCAGUAGCCGGUCUGAGAGGAUGAACGGCCACAUUGGGACUGAGACACGGCCAGACUCCUACGGGAGGCAGCAGUGGGGAAUCUUCCGCAAUGGGCGAAAGCCUGACGGAGCAAUGCCGCGUGAGUGAUGAAGGAGUUCGUUCCGUAAAGCUCUUUUGUUUAUGACGAACGUGCGAGUUGUGAAUAAUGACUUGUAAUGACGGUAGUAAACGAAUAAGCCACGGCUAACUACGUGCCAGCCGCCGCGGUAAUAC